UUAAUGUGUCUUUCAAAAACGAAACCGGCAGGGCUCUUUUAGAUGUUGUACUCACAAGCUGAAGGAAUGGCUGGUAUUUAAAUGCCCUUGGAAGAUAGUAUAGUUCUGUGAUAAGCGGUUUUGCUUUGAUGUUGUAAAGCUUUCAUGGUACCUUAUGGUGCCAAUUAUCAAUCACUUAUGAUUGUGUUUGAUAUCUGUUCAGUACAUAGCUAUUAUUCAGUCCACUUGAACAGCCUUAGCGUACAAGAUUCUGAGGUUUAUGACAGACUGGAGAUCAUGCCCUGGGUCAAAGGCAAGUAGAGGAUUAGUCCAGUGUUGAGCCCCUGGGUCAUGGGAAAGGUAGACUUUCUUCAAAGAAUGUGCAGAAACACGAAAGAUGAAAGUUAGCUUCAGAAUAUCUGUAGGGCAACUUAUUGCUGGAGCCAUCAUUGGCCAAGACAGGGGAGAAGCCCCAGAAACCUCUUUGAUUUCUUGCCUGUUUCACAUGAUGUUUUGUAAUAAACAUAGUUCAAUGACCAAAGUCUAGACAAACAAAUCACAGACCUGGCAAAUCCCUGUGAUCUGAUGACAUGUUAUGUCUCUGAGAUGCAAUAGGAAGAAGGAGUCAGCUUUGAAAUGCUAACACAGACCCUUUGUGAGCUAAGAGUGAAUGAGGGCUGUUAGGAAGGGGACUCAGACAAGCAAACUCCUCUCUAACCAAAUUAGAAGAAAUCCUAGACUGCUUGCUAUAUUGUGAGAUCCUUAUGGACUACAGGUGUGCAGGCUCAAACACCACCGUUAGAGCCUCGUGCCAGCUGACAGAUGCCACAAUACAAACUGGGUGAGGAUUUGGACUACCCAAGGCGGAGAAAAGAAAACUGAAGCCCGGGAGGAACUUUGGAGAUGGUCCCAUCCACGCCUCUUAUUUUAAAGAUGAGGAAA